AAUGAAGGAGGAUUAAGAUCUCCCUCUUUGUUCUAGCUCCUUCUCUCUUAACAUCUCACCUCUCCACAGGGCUGAAAAUAAGAUGUGAAGUACCAAUGUUGUCACCAUGGGUGCUGCAGCCAGAAGGAUUCGGUAAUUCUCAAAACUCAUGGCAGAUGUGAGAGAUCAGACUAACGCGAACCAGCCCCUCUUACCCCAAUGGGAGCACCUCACCCCGCAGAGAGCUGCAGGAACAGGCCCAAAGACGAUGGUAUCUGCGGUCUGCAGCUGGGCGCAAGGAGCCAGUUACCAAGAGGACUGUCAGCAGUUAAGCCCUACGAGCUCCUGUCUCCUAGCUCCUGACAAAACCUGCAUGUCCCUCUCUGCUGUUGAUCCACUCCUGCUCGGUCCCUGCCACCUCUGUCAGCACAGCUCUGGCAUGGUUGGCAGUGGGCGAGUGAAGCCAGGACUCACCAAUGCUCGCUGCACCAGCUUCUGAUUUCCAUCCACGGAACCGCUCUGAGCAGCAUGAGAACAAGCCUAUGAGCAGCCCUCCCAGGACAGCUGUCCCAGACAUGAACUGCUGAUCCAUAACUCCCCAGUAAACGCAGAGAACAGGAAAGACAACAACAAGAAAUCUACUCUCAAAUUGCCAAGACGUAAAUUAAAAUGAUAUUGCUGCUUUUCUAUUGCCAUCUCUCUAGGGAAGUGUUAUUUCCACAGUAAAACAGGUCCAUUUGAAACAGUGAUGCAUAUCUCCCCCUCCUAAUUGCUCCAGUUCCCAAGGAAAUCCCCUGGUCCAUGCUCUUAAGAGUUUUUGUUAUCAGAUAAUCUGUGUGUUUGGCAUAUGUCCAUGGGGCCACUUAAGUAUUGUCUCCUUUGACAUGUAGUGUAUGUCCUAAAACCCUUAAAGGCUUAACCAAAACCCUUUGUUCUUAUGCUCUGUUUCUCUGAGAGUCUGCUGAACACAAAUAGCAUUAUUGUGUUCUCAGUUGUGGAUUUGUUAAUCCAAAUAAAUUAUUGUCAAUUACCCAAGUGCCGUAUCUCCAUACCCUGUAAACAGCAAGCCACGGUCUUAGGCGAGUGCCAUGAACAUUUUAGAGUCUUUGAGUACUGUGUUUAAUUCAACAAAAUACAGGAACACAAGGGGGAAGAGAUAUGGGAAAAAGAAUGAAAGAUAAAACUGAGACAGAGCAUGGUGGGUGGGAUCUUCAGAAGCUUGGUGUAACCAUGGGGCAAAUCACGUCUUAUAGAACAGUCAAUCCCACCACCUCUUUGGGACGGGGGAGAUGCUGCCCCAUCCACUCCUUCCUCAUGGUGCCCUUGUCACUCACCAGGCUCUUUUCUGCGUAGCCAAGGCUGCUAAAUGGCAGGAAGCCAAACCCAGUACCUGCACAGUUGGCUUUCUGAUGCAGCCCCAGGAGCACUGGGUAACAAGGAUAGCAGAGCAGCAAGACAUCAACCUUUGGAGGGCUGAUGUGGUGCCUAACCUUGUCCUUGUGUGGGUCUUUGGGGGAAGCAGCACUACUUCAAGUUGUACUGCACCCUGCUUUGCGGGCUUUUGUCCGUAACAGAAUCAGGGAGCUGCCUUGGGCUAUAAAUCAUGGAAAAAGAAGGGAAAGAGGGUAACUAACCUGUGGCAGUCAACUGGUCCAAUUCACAGGGUGAACCCGGGGCGCUGCAGCAGCCCAAGCAAGGGGGCAGACCAGGGACAGGAGCAAACAGCGGGUCCUGAGGACAGGACCCCAUUGCUGUCAGAAGAAACAGAGCACAAUUAUCUUUCUAUUCUUAUCGCCUUCACAGGCCUAUUUAGCUGUAUACCGUUUAAUAUAAUAUUUGAUUAUACACACACACAUGGAAACAAUUACUUUCAAUCCUAAAUUAUUUAAACCUUUUCUCAUUUUUAUUUUGAUUGUUUGCUAGAGGACCUUGGAAAUAAAAGAAGGAAGGAGAAGAAACAGAAAAAAGCAAUACAAACAACCAAAACAUUCCCCCAUCCCUCCUUCCGGGGAGACAGCCAGGCCCCAGAGAAAUCCACAUCAUAAAUUCCCAUUGUUUCAAAUGGAUGCUUUUUCAGCAUUAGUUUUUAUAGGCUGGACCAAAUUCUAAAUUUUCAACUAGGCACAGAAAAUUGCAGCAAAUUCUGAUUUAAUUGAUGUUGUUUUAAAAACACAAACUAACAUAUCUAGCACAUUUUUUGAUUA